rnacentral:tRNA from 1 species
GGUCUUAUAGCUCAGUGGAAGAGCGCUACCUUGACAUGGUAGAGGUCAUUGGUUCGACCCCAAUUAAGGCCACCA